rnacentral:misc_RNA from 1 species
GUCCAAUAAAAAUAUAAUUUAAACAACUUAUAUUAACUAGAUAGUUUAUAAAUGAUCUAUUACAACUACAUUCGGCUAUUAUUAAUUCAACUAUUUGAAUGUGUAUUAACUAUCAAUUAGGAUAUCUAACAAUCUAUAUAGAAAAUAUAUCUUUUGAGAUAACGGUGCAAGAGACUCUCAGUGUUCCUGUUGGUUUAUAUGGUCCUUGCUUGAGGUUAUGGGAGCUUUGAUUUAGAUCCGGUGAGAAGCAUGAGAACUUUAACGCAUGCCUACUAGAUGGCCAAGUGACAAUGGCAUUUUCCCAUCAAUAAUAUAGCAUAAAGUAGGCCAAACUUUUAAGAAUUGUUGCAUUAACUUGCAAGCAGACGAGUAUGCCCAUCUCGAAAUGAUAUUCCCUUCGAACAAUAACCCUAUUAAACCAAACAAAAAAUAAAGUAUUAUUUCCCUUGCAAAAAUCACAUCCCAUAAAAAGCUAUCAAGUGUCCUAAUGAUAUCACAACAAUGUAGCUUAUGCUUUUACAAAACUUGUCAAGGUUUAGUAUCUUGUCUUUCAAGAAGUCUCCGGUUCUUUGCUGUCCUCCUCACUAGUUUCAUUUGCAGUAUCAGCUCCUUCUGAUGACCCUGCUUCUUCAGGCUUUGCAGGACCUGGACCAGCUGAUACUUUCACCAUUGAUGGUCGCAAGAGCUUAUCACCAAGCUUGAACCCCUUGCGAAAUUCCUCAAGUAUGAUACCUUCUUCAUAUUCUGUUGAAUCCUCUCGCAUAAUUGCUUCAUGCAGCAAUGGAUCAAAGGGGUUCCCUAUUGUCUCCACAGGGACAACACCAAGUGAACCGAGAAUUUCCACAAAUUGCUUGUAUAUGCUCUGAUAACUGUUACUGAUCUUCUCUUCUCCUUCAGUCUCAAAUUUAAUCUGGGAUUUGGCUCUCUCAAAAUUAUCCAAAACAAGCAACAAACUCUCCACAACUUCUCCUUGUGCAUUUGUUACCAAUGAAAGCCUUUCCCUCUCUGUCCUCUUUCGAAAAUUGUCGAAGUCUGCACUGAUCCUGAGGACCCGAUCUUUUUCUAUUGACAGUUCUUCAGUCAAACUAGCAACCUUCCUUUCAAGGUCAAUUUUCUCAUCUUCAACAGAUUUCAGAAAAGCUUCUAUCUCAGCAAUUUUGGACUCGUCAUUACUUGCCAAAGCUUCUUUGUAUGACUGGAGUGAAGCCAUGAUGAUUGAAGGAGGAGUUUCCUUAGCAUCAGCAACUUCUUCACUGCUGGCACUAUCUUCCACCUGACUGGCACCAUCUGAAGAAUCCUGUUACAUGAAGCUAUCAGCAUAACAAUCCAAGACAAGAUACCAUCUCCCAGAAUCGGCAAUAAUCAGGAUGAAUGCAAGAAAGUUUUGAACUAAACAAUCUGUUAUGUUGUUAAAGUGGUUAAAACUAUCAAAUCUAAACCAAAAGAUCAAAUUACCAACCCAUAAAAAUAUAAUGCUGCUCAAGCCCAUGGAUUUAGAUUUAGAUUAAAUACCUAGUCCGGGAGGUUUAAAAAAAUAUGAAUUUGGACUUCAAAUCGAAUAUGAAUAUGAAGACUAUAAAAAUUAAGGAUUUGAAAUCAUAAUAUUAACUAUGUUAUUUGAAAUUGAAAUUCAAGCUAAUAAAAAAAUUUUUUUUGAUACUUAGCUCUAUUUUCAACUUUAAAAUUUGAAAUUCUUUUCGUUAACCAAACAAGAUAUUUUCAAAUAAAAAUUUCAAAUCUUAUAUUUAGAAUCUGAAUUUCAAAUUCAAAUCCGUAAAUCCAUACGCAAUCUUAAGGAUUUUGAGUUGUUACUUUUGGCAGAAAAUUUCUUCUUGUUAUCAUUGAGUUGAGUACCAAUUGAAAUUGGACAACAUUCAGUUCUGCUAAUUAUAAUUUGUGAAAUUUAUAAUAGAAGAAACUAACAUGAAAUAAGUACUUUGUCGCUAUCAAUAUCAUAUUGUCUAAUAAAGACAAGUCAUUAAAUGUAUAUGAUAAGUGAUGACAUUUUAUUAUGCCAGUAAAAAUUCUAUAACAAUAAAAGCAGAUAAACUUAAAUAAUUAUCUUAUAUUUGAAUUUAUUUUUUAUGAACUUUUCUUAUUUUUGUGCCUUGCCUCACUUAAGCGCGUGCAUUGCACUUAGGUUCUAAGACUCUUAGUGCCUUGGUGCUCCUUGCACCUUUGAUAACAAUGGCUGGCUUGAUCACAGUUCUAUAGAACUCACCUUUCACUUUGUUAAGGAUCUUAUGGUCACACUCAUCCAUUUCAUCUAUCAUGUUUUGAUCAUAUGAGUUACAUCUUCAUUUAUUGCUUUGUUCUUUUAGACAAUAGAACAUAAAUGCUUGAAUUAGUUUGUAAAAAAUUAAAAAAUACAACCAAAAUUUCCCUCUCUCUCAAAUUCAAUCUUGCCAUUCAUUUGAGGACCAGAGACACCUUUUUGAAAUUUCCAAGGCGUGAGCUCUUGAUGGAGGAAUUCCCAGAUUCCCAUAGUGUGAGCUCGUCAUGGUAGCAACUGACAAGAGGCAGUUGGUGAUGGCAUGGUGAAGGAGCUUCGGUGGUUUAUAGAAUGAGAAGGAUCUCAACCUGGACAUAUCGCCAAUGGCAUUAAGCUGGUGGAACUGUAGCUUGGAACUCCCUUGAUUGAUCCAAGAUGGACCAAAGGCAGAAGCCAUAGAUGAUUAAAAUGUAUAAUGUUUUAAAAAAUAAAAUAAUACAUUUGUCUAUUAAACAGUCUAUAUAUUAUUUUAUUCUCAAAAAGGCUUAAUUGGUAAAACAAAAAAUUGUUUUAUACCCAAUUAAAUAAAGUAAUCGUGAAAUGCUUAAUUGCUCAUUUGAUUAUGGUAUAGGGGCCUUCAAAUGUGACAAAACAGAAAGUGGAAAAUGAAUGAGAAUAAGGGGGUGGGUAUUGGGAGUAGAAGAGAGUGAACUACAUUAAGAAUGAAAUAUAUACAAAGUGUUUAGGUGGAGGAGGAUGUCAUCAUUGUUGAAUAUCAGUUUAGGCAACUUAAAUAGAUAUAGUUGAAUAAAAGAUAUAAAUUUGAGGGAAAAUUGAAUUAUUAUUAUUAUUAUUAUUAU